rnacentral:lncRNA from 1 species
AAUUGCCUUGCCAUGAUUUGCAUAAUUAAACCGGACAUGCAUCAUAUGUAUUGUGCAUCAUAUCGUGUCUUUGUUGUGGUGUUAACGUGUGUUGAUUGCAAGGUUUGAAAUUGCCGGCUAUUGGAUUUAUCAUCUGGCUUUUCCAUUGAGAUAUUUUGGGCUAUAGCUAGGUUAUUUGAGGCUAUAACGGGCUAUUGCGGCAACAUUGUGAAGGAAAGCAAAAUAGCUUUACACUUCAAAAACAGCAAUAGCGGCAGCUAUAGCUGAUAAUAGCCGGCAAUUUAAAACCCUGGUUGAUUGUUGUUCCGGUUUGUUUCUUCCCGAUAGAGUUCUGCAAGCAUGUCCGAAUGUGAGGAUCCGUUCGGCUACGUUGGUUCAUCUGCUUCACGGAGCCGUUCUUCUUCCAAGUGGGAUCUCAGGCAAGAUGACCAUU